AAUCUCAUAGCUCAAAUGGUUAGAGCACCGGUCUUUUAAACCGGGGAGUAGAGGUUCGAAUCCUCUCGGGAUCA
rnacentral:tRNA from 1 species